AUUCCACACUGUCCUGGAGACCAAAGCUGGGACACUUAAAACUUUUAUAAGGUCCUUCUCCCUCAUCUGGAGGGAGCAUGGCAGUGAGCCAAGGAGACGGGACCCUCUGCUUUGUCCUCCUGCUGUGCUGCUGGCAAGAAGUGAAGACCUGGCCAAUAAGAAUGAAUUCAGGCACAGAGAGAGAGAGAGAGAGAGAUCAGAAGUCUGACUGGUUCAAGUUCUGGACUGCCGUCAAGUUAGUCAAGUUUUAAGAAUAUGGAUGACGAUAUGACCACAGUAUUUGGUAAGGAAGUCCCUCCUAUCAACCUCUGGCCUGUACGUGAAGGGGGCUGGAUGGUUGUCUGUGGCUGUUUCCCAGAUAACCUGGUAUGAGCUGCAGACAGUGGAGGGAACUGAUUGGUUUGGGACUAGAAUCAUAUUCCAAUGGCCCAUAGCUUUACUGCUGACAUCUAAGAGUCAAACGCUCAAGAAAUUAAGGAAGACAGAAUUUUAGACCAUUACACCUAAAAAGUGCCUGGGAGCCUUGCUUCUCAAAGUGAGGUCCAAGGACCCUCAGCAUCUGCAUCAUCUGGUUUGGGGAGCUUGUUAGAUAUGCCCAGCGGCAAGCUGGGCCCAGCCCUCCAGCACCAGCACCGCAUUCAACCUGAUGCUACUGAUUCAUGUGCACCUGAGAGGCCCCAUGGCUGAGCCGUCCCCUCCUCCACUGCCUCAGCCCUGCCAGCCCCCUGGAAAGAUGGUGGAAACUACGGACCCCCUGGCCUCACCCUGGAGAUGCAGACCGUGCUGGUUUGGCUGAGCCUGGUGCCUCUGUGCUUCUCUAGGGCUCUGCAGGUGACACUAAAAUACAACUGGCUGAGAACCGCUGCCCUGGGCCAGGGCCAUCCAAUAGAAACACAGCACAAGCCGCAGUUGUGCUUUUCAUUGUCUAGUGGCCACAUUAAAAAGAUGCAGAUGAAACU